rnacentral:rRNA from 1 species
GAUGAACGCUGGCGGCGUGCCUAAUACAUGCAAGUCGAGCGAAUGGAUUAAGAGCUUGCUCUUAUGAAGUUAGCGGCGGACGGGUGAGUAACACGUGGGUAACCUGCCCAUAAGACUGGGAUAACUCCGGGAAACCGGGGCUAAUACCGGAUAACAUUUUGAACCGCAUGGUUCGAAAUUGAAAGGCGGCUUCGGCCGUCACUUAUGGAUGGACCCGCGUCGCAUUAGCUAGUUGGUGAGGUAACGGCUCACCAAGGCAACGAUGCGUAGCCGACCUGGGAGGGUGAUCGGCCACACUGGGACUGAGACACGGCCCAGACUCCUACGGGAGGCAGCAGUAGGGAAUCUUCCGCAAUGGACGAAAGUCUGACGGAGCAACGCCGCGUGAGUGAUGAAGGCUUUCGGGUCGUAAAACUCUGUUGUUAGGGAAGAACAAGUGCUAGUUGAAUAAGCUGGCACCUUGACGGUACCUAACCAGAAAGCCACGGCUAACUACGUGCCAGCCGCCGCGGUAA